GUAAGCCGUGUGCGGGAAAACCGCCUGCACGGUUUGAUGAGGGGGAGAGCGGCAUUGUUGGGCGUACGUCCUGCACUGCUGCUCUCUCUACUCUAC
rfam:Verrucomicrobia bacterium RIFCSPLOWO2_12_FTLL_64_8 rifcsplowo2_12_scaffold_422943, whole genome shotgun sequence.